GUGCCAGCCGCCGCGGUAAUACGUAGGGAGCAAGCGUUGUCCGGAUUCACUGGGUGUAAAGGGUGCGCAGGCGGGUUGGCAAGUCAGAGGUGAAAUCUCACAGCUUAACUGUGAAACUGCCUUUGAUACUUCCAAUCUUGAGUUAAAGAGAGGUUGAUGGAAUUUCAGGUGUAGCGGUGAAAUGCGUAGAUAUCUGAAAGAACACCAGUGGCGAAGGCGGUCAACUGGCUUUUAACUGACGCUCAGGCACGAAAGCGUGGGUAGCGAACAGGAUUAGAAACCCGCGUAGUCC
rnacentral:rRNA from 1 species